rnacentral:rRNA from 1 species
GACGUAGGGCGCAAGCGUUGUCCGGAAUUAUUGGGCGUAAAGAGCUCGUAGGCGGCUUGUUGCGUCGACUGUGAAAACACCGCGACUCAACCGUGGCGUCGCAGUCGAUACGGGCAGGCUAGAGUUCGGUAGGGGAGACUGGAAUUCCUGGUGUAGCGGUGAAAUGCGCAGAUAUCAGGAGGAACACCGAUGGCGAAGGCAGGUCUCUGGGCCGAUACUGACGCUGAGGAGCGAAAGCGUGGGGAGCGAACAGG